rnacentral:ncRNA from 2 species
AGUUUGAGGCAAUAACAGGUCUG